rnacentral:rRNA from 1 species
UACGAAGGGUGCAAGCGUUACUCGGAAUUACUGGGCGUAAAGCGUGCGUAGGCGGUCUGUUAAGUCUGUCGUGAAAGCCCUGGGCUCAACCUGGGAAUUGCUUUUGAAACUGUUUUACUUGAAUCCGGUAGAGGUUGGCGGAAUUCUCAGUGUAGCGGUGAAAUGCGUAGAUAUAGGAAGGAACACCAGUGGCGAAGGCGACCACCUGGACUGAUACUGACACUGAGGUGCGAAAGCGUGGGGAGCAAACAGG